rnacentral:lncRNA from 1 species
AUUUUUACUGUCUUUUUAUAAAUGGUAGGAUAAGUUCCCAGAGCAUGAAAAACUCACCAGUUUUCCAGCAAGAUUCACACUGCAUCAUUUCAAAACCUCACAAGAGGGAGAGAGAUUGGGUGAUGCUGGCCUCAGGCAAUCCAUACUCUGGUGUUCUACACAUCUAUCUUCUCACUCAGCAUCCUGCACACUUAUUUUCAUCUUUUACAACUUGCC